GACGAACGCUGGCGGCGUGCUUAACACAUGCAAGUCGAGCGAGGCCCUCCUUCGGGAGGUGUCCUAGCGGCGAACGGGUGAGUAACACGUGGGCAACCUGCCCUCAGCUCUGGGAUAACCCCAAGAAAUUGGGGCUAAUACCGGAUAUGACCGCUGACCGCAUGGUCGGUGGUGGAAAGAUUUAUCGGCUGAGGAUGGGCCCGCGGCCUAUCAGCUUGUUGGUGGGGUAGUGGCCUACCAAGGCGACGACGGGUAGCCGGCCUGAGAGGGUGACCGGCCACACUGGGACUGAGACACGGCCCAGACUCCUACGGGAGGCAGCAGUGGGGAAUAUUGCGCAAUGGGCGGAAGCCUGACGCAGCGACGCCGCGUGGGGGAUGACGGCCUUCGGGUUGUAAACCUCUUUCAGCAGGGACGAAGCGAGAGUGACGGUACCUGCAGAAGAAGCACCGGCCAACUACGUGCCAGCCGCCGCCGUAAUAC
rnacentral:rRNA from 1 species